GGGGUAUGGCUCAGUUGGUAGAGCGUCUCGUUCGCAACGAGAAGGCCGCGGGUUCGAAUCCCACUAUCUCC
rnacentral:tRNA from 1 species